UUACUUCUUGGCCAUCUUGCGCAUCAGGCCAGCGAGCUCCUCCCGCUUUCGCUUGCCGCGGAUGUGGGUGCCCAGCUGCAAAAAGCACGGAACAUAGGAUUCAUGGAGGAAACCUAAAAUAAGAGUUUUUAACUUUCAAGCAAUCCAUUUGCAUCAGAAAACCAGUAGAAGCCCUUUUGAGACGGCAGCCGCCAAAACAGCCAGCAAUUUACCUUCCGCUUGGCCACUUUCAGAGCGCGCUUAUCCUUGCCGACCUUCAGCAACUCCAUAAUGCGCUUCUCAUAUGGAGCCAGGCCAGCCACCUCGCGAAUCACCUCGCGAACAAACUUGACGCGCUUGGAGAGCCGCUGCAAUACAGGACGCGGUAAAAACAUGUUACAUAUCCCAAGCCUCAGCUACCUACUGGUUGAUGGCUGCAAGUACACCUAAACUGCUCACCCC
rnacentral:lncRNA from 1 species